AAUAGAUACCCUGGUAGUCCACGCCGUAAACGAUGAGUGCUAGGUGUUGGGGGGUACCACCCUCAGUGCCGAAGGAAACCCAAUAAGCACUCCGCCUGGGGAGUACGGUCGCAAGACUGAAACUCAAAGGAAUUGACGGGGGCCCGUACAAGCGGUGGAGCAUGUGGUUUAAUUCGAAGCAACGCGAAGAACCUUACCAAGGCUUGACAUCCCAUUGACCGGUGUAGAGAUAUGCCUUUCCUUCGGGACAAUGGUGACAGGUGGUGCAUGGUUGUCGUCAGCUCGUGUCGUGAGAUGUUGGGUUCAGUCCCGCAACGAGCGCAACCCUUAUCCUUAGUUGCCAGCAGGUAAAGCUGGGCACUCUAAAGAGACAGCCGGUGAAAGCCGGAGGAAGGUGGGGAUGACGUCAAAUCAUCAUGCCCCUUAUGUCUUGGGCUACACACGUGCUACAAUGGUUGGAACAAAGGGAAGCAAGACCGCGAGGUGGAGCAAAUCUCAUAAAUCCAAUCUCAGUUCGGAUCGUAGGCUGC
rnacentral:rRNA from 1 species